UACGUAGGGUGCAAGCGUUGUCCGGAAUUAUUGGGCGUAAAGAGCUCGUAGGCGGUCUGUCGCGUCGGCUGUGAAAACUCGGGGCUCAACUCCGAGCUUGCAGUCGAUACGGGCAGGCUAGAGUUCGGCAGGGGAGACUAGAAUUCCUGGUGUAGCGGUGAAAUGCGCAGAUAUCAGGAGGAACACCGGUGGCGAAGGCGGGUCUCUGGGCCGAUACUGACGCUGAGGAGCGAAAGCGUGGGGAGCGAACAGG
rnacentral:rRNA from 1 species